UACAGAGGGUGCGAGCGUUAAUCGGAGGUACUGGGCGUAAAGGGCGCGUAGGCGGUUUAAUAAGAUUGAUGUGAAAGCCCUGGGCUUAACCUAGGAACUGCAUCGAUGACUGUAGAGCUAGAGUAUUGUAGAGGGUAGUAGAAUUUCCGGUGUAGCGGUGAAAUGCGUAGAGAUCGGAAGGAAUACCAGUGGCGAAGGCGGCUACCUGGACAAAUACUGACGCUGAGGCGCGAGAGCGUGGGGAGCAAACAGG
rnacentral:rRNA from 1 species